UGGGGAAUUUUGGACAAUGGGGGCAACCCUGAUCCAGCCAUGCCGCGUGAGUGAAGAAGGCCUUCGGGUUGUAAAGCUCUUUCGGCGGGGACGAAACGGUCCGUGACAACACCACGGACUAAUGACAGUACUCGCAGAAGAAGCACCGGCUAACUACGUGCCAGCAGCCGCGGUAAUACGUAGGGUGCAGGCGUUAAUCGGAAUUACUGGGCGUAAAGCGUGCGCAGGCGGCUCCUUAAGUCAGAUGUGAAAUCCCCGGGCUUAACCUGGGAACUGCGUUUGAAACUGAGGGGCUAGAGUGUGGAAGAGGGGGGUGGAAUUCCAGGUGUAGCAGUGAAAUGCGUAGAGAUCUGGAGGAACACCGAUGGCGAAGGCAGCCCCCUGGGCUAACACUGACGCUCAUGCACGAAAGCGUGGGGAGCAAACAGGAUUAGAUACCCACGUAGUCCCUGAGCGGGCUGGCAAGGCGCAU
rnacentral:rRNA from 1 species